CCUACGGGAGGCAGCAGUGGGGAAUAUUGCACAAUGGGGGGAACUCUGAUGCAGCGACGCCGCGUGAGUGAAGAAGUAUCUAGGUAUGUAAAGCUCUUUUAGCAGGGAAGAAGAUGCAGGUACUCGUAUCUGUAUCCCAGGCUAACACGGUGCAAGCAGCCGUGGGAAUACGUAGGGGGCAGGCGUUAUCCGGAUUUACUGGGUGUAAAGGGGGCGUAGUCGGCAGGACAAGUGUGUAGUGAAAGCCCGGGGCUCAACGCCGGAACUGCGUGUGAAACUGCUAUGCUGGAGUGCUGGUGAGGUAGGCGGAAUGCAUGGUGUAGCGGUGAAAUGCGUAGAUAUUAGGAAGAACACCGGUGGCGAAGGCAGCUUACUGGGC
rnacentral:rRNA from 1 species